GUGCUGGCUUCGGUAGCACAUAUACUAAAAUUGGAACGAUAUAGAGAAGAUUAGCAUGACCUCUGCACAAGGAUGACACACAUUUGUAAAGUGUUCCAUAUUUAA
ensembl:snRNA U6 U6 spliceosomal RNA